AUAACGAGCGCAACCCUCAUCAUUAGUUACCAUCAGGUAAGGCUGGGGACUCUAAUGAGACUGCCAUCGUAAGAUGUGAGGAAGGUGGGGAUGACGUCAAAUCAGCACGGCCCUUACGUCCGGGGCGACACACGUGUUACAAUGGGUGGUACAAAGGGCAGCUACCUGGCGACAGGAUGCUAAUCUCGAAAACCGCUCUCAGUUCGGAUCGGAGUCUGCAACUCGACUCCGUGAAGCUGGAUUCGCUAGUAAUCGCGCAUCAGCCACGGCGCGGUGAAUACGUUCCCGGGCCUU
rnacentral:rRNA from 1 species